UACGAAGGGGGCGAGCGUUGUUCGGAAUCACUGGGCGUAAAGGGCGCGUAGGCGGCCCUCCUUGUCGCGUGUGAAAGCCCCGGGCUCAACCUGGGAAUGCCAUUCGAGACUGCAUAGCUAGGGUGCGGAAGAGGGAAGCGGAAUUUCCGGUGUAGCGGUGAAAUGCGUAGAUAUCGGAAGGAACACCAGUGGCGAAAGCGGCUUCCUGGUCCAGCACCGACGUUCAGGCACGAAAGCGUGGGGAGCAAACAGG
rnacentral:rRNA from 1 species